GUGGCAGAGCGCAGGAUAACUGACCAUCAACAUGCUUCGAAUAUGGCCGGUGUCAUUAAACGUCGGGAAAAAGAGCGUAAUUAAAUUGUAGCCAGAAGCACAGUUACAGUCACCAACGCUCUGGAUAACAUGAAAACCCCCUAACCAGCUCUGCUGGGCGAGUAAAAUGGUCAGACUGAGAUCUGACAUAACAACUACCUUAAAAUGCUUCCAGUAUCCUGCUGUCAAAGGGCAAAAAUGUAUAUAGCGAUGGGAAUGUUGAACAACACACAGCCGCUUGCUCAGAAAGCUGCAAGAUGGUGGACAAGCACAAGCUCUUUUUAAUGGCAGCCAGCAGUCCGAGAACUUCCAAGCAAACAGAUGGUUGACUAUGAUGAGGAGACACAACGUGCUCUUUGUGUAUGUUGGAAAGGAGUCUCCACACAAGGAAGGGGCUCCGGAUGUUUCUUCGAUUCAGAGCAUAGUUUCCAAGAGCAGAGUGAGAGAUAUCACAAUAUAUAUUACAAUAUGUAGCAAUACAAUAUGUAUUAGAAGUUGUUUUGGUCAAAUGAAAUCAGACAUUUUAGUUAACAUAAAUAUCACUAUGUCUGCAGAUAGCAAGCUACUCAGCUCUCCUCAGGCACAGGGCCUAACCUCUGGGGCUAUAGGGGAGAUGGGAAUCAUGAUCUCAAUAUAUGUAAUGAUAUAGAACAUUAUUAGGAAUGAUUUUGAUGAUGUAGAUUGAUGUUGAUAACCGCCUAUGGUGUGGAAUUAGGAACUACAGUUUUCCUGGUCAAGAAGAAAAUCAAGGCCCUAUAAUCAAUUAUAACAUCACUAACAGAUUCAUUUGAUAGUAAAUUAUGUCAAAUGUUAAGGAAUUCAGUGCCUGAAAUCAUGGUAGCAUUCAUAUUCUCCCAGUGUGUUGAUGGACAUUUUAUAAUGAUUAAAAGACACAUUUUCCCCA
ensembl:lncRNA